UCGGCUACAAAGACAUAAAUCUAUUCUACAUUCACAUCAAACAACCUAACCGGAGUCCUGACUACCCAUUUCCCGCCGGAGGCGGGGGCGGGACGAUGGGCCGGAAGGUCGUCUCCGCCCUCCUUGUUUGGGUGGCGCUCGUUGCCGUAGCUGAGCGCUCGAGCUCCCAGUCUCAUGGGGAGACACAUUGGUUGCAGCAAGACGUGCGUUGCGGGGAAUUGUAAUUGUGAGUACCUUAGGUCUUCUUAAUCUGUAUCGACUAUAUAUAAACGACAUGUUAUGUGAUCUCAGAUGGAAUUAGAGCUUUGGUUUGUUGGAAUUUA